rnacentral:rRNA from 1 species
AUUGAACGCUGGCGGCAGGCCUAACACAUGCAAGUCGAGCGAGCGGCGGACGGGUGAUUAAUGUAUGGGGAUCUGCCUGAUGGAGGGGGAUACCUACUGGAAACGGUAGCUAAUAACGCAUACCAUCAGAUGAACCCAUAUGGGAUUAGCUUGUAGGUGAGGUAACGGCUCACCUGGGCGACGAACCCUAGCUGGUCUGAGAGGAUGAUCAGCCACACUGGGACUGAGACACGGCCCAGAUUCCGACGGGAGGCAGCAGUGGGGAAUAUUGCACAAUGGGCGCAAGCCUGAUGCAGCCAUGCCGGGUGUAUGAAGAAGGCCUUCGGUGUGUAAAGUACUUUCAGUCGGGAGGCGUUACCGACAGAAGAAGCACCGGCUAACUCCGUGCCAGCAGCGGCGGUAAUAC